UACGUAGGGCGCAAGCGUUAUCCGGAAUUACUGGGCGUAAAGAGCUCGUAGGUGGUUUGUCGCGUUGUUCGUGAAAACUCACAGCUCAACUGUGGGCGUGCGGGCGAUACGGGCAGACUUGAGUACUGCAGGGGAGACUGGAAUUCCUGGUGUAGCGGUGGAAUGCGCAGAUAUCAGGAGGAACACCGGUGGCGAAGGCGGGUCUCUGGGACGGUACUGACGCUGGAGACGCGAAAGCGUGGGGAGCGAACAGG
rnacentral:rRNA from 1 species